AAUGUUUUAUUUAGUUAAAGGUAAUUAACAUAGGCUGCACGUUAGGUGGCAUACCCAUGGGUGCAGUGUAGCCCAGUGUUGUAUUUAGUAAAGGUAACUUCCUUUGGCUGCACUUUAGGUGGCACACCCAUGGGUGCUGUGUAACCCAGUGUCUUAUUUAGUUAAAGGUAAUUAACAUAGGCUGCACUUUAGGUGGCACAUCCAUGGGUGCAGUGUAACCUAGUGUUGCUAAUGAGUGACUGUAACCCAGUUCAGUUUUUUCUAGAAAGUGCUGUCCUUUAAGUAGCAUAAAGACAUGCAGACAUUCUCUUUAAGACAAUGAAAUUGGUGUGAGGGAACAUUUCUUCAAGUAGUAUGGUAGCACAAUGUUAUGUAAUUAAUGCAUUUUUCCAAAUGUUUAGUACUUUUCAGAAGCUUUAAGCAAGGGCACUUUUGUAAGAGAUUUUGGUACACAUACUGAGAUAAUUGAUUUGGAAGGCUCAGAUAUUAAAGCUGACAUGGAGCCUCGCCUUGUUCAGUGGCAAGGCAAGUUGGAUGAGCUACAUGUCUUUUUCAAGAAGUUGUGCAAGUCACGCAAAAAGUCACUAUUCACUAUUCACUAUUGUUUUUCUUGCGUUAGAUCUGCUUUUUUCGAUUCGAUUGCACCUUGACUAUUUUUGUACCGCUACUCCUCUUGCGUUAUAUUUAUUUAAAUGAGCAAUUUUUAAAAGACAGAAAAUGUCCUUCUUUCAAUAACGUGGCGGAAUAAAACAAUUACACAAAGAUGUUACUAUGAUACUUUUUGGUACGAAAUAUUUUAUUUUUGACCAGCACUGUUAUGCCUAAUUUUGUCCAUAAACGGACAAAAUUGCUCCGAUUUUGAGACGACAUUACAGCUUUUUGGCAGCGAUCGCCAAGAAACUGAAUGUGCCACGGAAUUACACCCAAUUAAGAAAGAUAUUUUCUCCCUUCCAGCAGUCAUUAGAAAGCCGUUUUGUCCCCUCAAAAUCGGAUGUAGUUCACACGUUAAGGGUAAUAAACUGAUAAAAAAUGAUUUACAAUUAUCCUGUUGUCAAUAGGUUCUUAUUCACGUAAGCUGGGUCAUAAACUAUUUCUUGCGGCAGAAUCAUGGGGAAGAAGUUGUCCUUCAUUUUAAAAUCGCUGAAAUUGUAGUAACUAAACCUUGAAUGAAACUAUUGUAGGAAGAUUCAUUACUUGACGAGGGAAUUCCGCAUUUAAUUGCACGCGAAAAGCGAUACGCGAAGCGAUGAGUGCGAUAUCGGUUUUUAAGUGCAAUUUAACGCGGAAUUCACGAGCCAAGUAAUGGAUUUUCCUUGAAUCACAUAUUUGAAUAAAAACAAGAUAAAAAGAAAA